UGAGGGAUAUUGGUCAAUGGGCGCAAGCCUGAACCAGCGACGCCGCGUGGGUGAAGAAGGUCUUCGGAUCGUAAAGCCCUUUUCCCACUGAAGAGGAAGGACGGUAGGUGGGGAAGAAGUCUCGGCUAACUACGUGCCAGCAGCCGCGGUAAAACGUAGGAGACAAGCGUUAUCCGGAGUUACUGGGCGUAAAGGGCGUGCAGGUGGCGUCUUAAGUCUGUUGUGAAAGCGCCUGGCUUAACCGGGCGAGGCCAAUGGAGACUGAGAGGCUGAAGGACGGCGGAGGGGUGUGGAAUUCCGGGUGUAGUGGUGAAAUGCGUAGAGAUCCGGAGGAACACCAGAGGCGAAGGCGGCACUCUAAGCCGUACCUGACACUGAGACGCGACAGCACGGGGAGCAAACG
rnacentral:rRNA from 1 species